rnacentral:rRNA from 1 species
UACGUAGAGGGCUAGCGUUGUCCGGAAUCAUUGGGCGUAAAGAGCGUGUAGGCGGUCCGGUAAGUCCGCUGUGAAAGUCGGGGGCUCAACCCUCGAAUGCCGGUGGAUACUGUCGGGCUAGAGUGCGGAAGAGGCGAGUGGAAUUCCUGGUGUAGCGGUGAAAUGCGCAGAUAUCAGGAGGAACACCUAUUGCGAAGGCAGCUCGCUGGGACGUAACUGACGCUGAGACGCGAAAGCGUGGGGAGCAAACAGG